CAGUCGCCGCGGUAAUACGUAGGUGGCAAGCGCUGUCCGGAAUUAUUGGGCGUAAAGGGCUCGCAGGCGGUUCCUUAAGUCUGAUGUGAAAGCCCCCGGCUCAACCGGGGAGGGUCAUUGGAAACUGGGAAACUUGAGUGCAGAAGAGGAGAGUGGAAUUCCACGUGUAGCGGUGAAAUGCGUAGAGAUGUGGAGGAACACCAGUGGCGAAGGCGACUCUCUGGUCUGUAACUGACGCUGAGGAGCGAAAGCGUGGGGAGCGAACAGGAUUAGAUACCCCCGUAGUCCCUGUCUCUUAUAC
rnacentral:rRNA from 1 species